rnacentral:misc_RNA from 1 species
UCUCCGUAGGUGAACCUGCGGAGGGAUCACUACAGGCUUGCAAAAGCUCUGAAACCACUGUUUAUCUACCUGAAUCUGCUUCGGCGGGCGGCCCCAGGGCGGGGCCGUAGCCGCAAGGCGCCCGCCGAAGACCCCUAAACUCCGUCGGCUUGAGAAUCUCUGAGUAUCAUAUUAAACAAAAAAACAACUUUCAACAACGGAUCUCUUGGCUCUG